CACUGAGCCUAGGGGACACUGUCUGGGGUCCCGAGGCAGGGUCAGACCAAUCUGGCUCAGAAACGAAGCCCUGGGUCCCGCAGUUCCGCAAAAUUGCCGCUAGGGGUCCCCGUGGGAUCGCAUCGCAGCGCUCAGCUAACACUGCGUGUGCCAGAACAGGAGAACGCGACUCCAGCCCUUUUUGAGCGCCAGACCCGCUGCCCCGCUGGGAUCCAGCCCCUGGGCACCGCGCGUCCUUCCCUUUAAGCUGGUGGCCAUGCUGACGGACUGUCCAGGGCUAAUGCUGGCACCCACACGUCCCCAGAAUUGGCCCCUGGGGCUUGCUCCUGUUAGGCCCCCGGAGGAGCACUGGCCAUCUGAAAGAGACAGAAAGACAUUUUGCACUUCCAAGUGCAGCGGAGCCAGCAGAGGGCGCCAAAGCAGGAGGAAGAGUUUCAGAUAUUUCCUGCCUUGUUCAGAAACAACGCGGGGGCUUGCGGCUGUGGCUGAAAUUUGGACCUGGGUCUGCCUGUUCUGAGGCUCUUGUUGUCCAAUACCGUGGACUACCACCUAAAAAACUCGAGUUCCAGUUAUAACUCAGCUUGGUGGCUUUGGGCAAAUUCUCAAUUUCCUCAACUAUAAAGUGGAAACUGUACAUCA